ensembl:lncRNA
CCCUGGCCUGUCUCCCCUUGUAUGGUACAGGUACCCCCACCACACUCCCCCUCUCUCCCUGGCCUGUCUCCCCUGUCUGGUACAGGUACCCCCACCACACUCCACCCUCUCUCCCUGGUCUGUCUCCCCUGUCUGGUCCAGGGACCCCCACCACACUCACCCCUCUCUCCCUGGCCUGUCUGGUACAGGUACCCCCACCACACGCACCCUUCUCUCCCUGGCCUGUCUGGUACAGGUACCCCCACCACACUCACCCCUCUCUCCCUGGCCUGUCUGGUACAGGUACCCCCACCACACUCACCCCUCUCUCCCUGGCCUGUCUGGUACAGGUACCUCCACCACACUCACCCCUCUCUCCCUGGCCUGUCUCCCCUUGUCUGGUACAGGUACCCCCACCACACUCACCCCUCUCUCCCUGGUCUGUCUCCCCUGUCUGGUACAGGUACCCCCACCACACUCACCCCUCUCUCCCUGGCCUGUCUGGUACAGGUACCUCCACCACAUUCACCCCUCUCUCCCUGGCCUGUCUGGUACAGGUACCUCCACCACACUCACCCCUCUCUCCCUGGCCUGUCUGGUACAGGUACCCCCACCACACUCACCCCUCUCUCCCUGGCCUGUCUGGUACAGGUACCCCCACCACACUCACCCCUCUCUCCCUGGCCUGUCUGGUACAGGUACCUCCACCACACUCACCCCUCUCUCCCUGGUCUGUCUCCCCCUGUCUGGUACAGGUACCUCCACCACACUCCCCCUCUCUCCCUGGCCUGUCUCCCCUUGUCUGGUACAGGUACCCCCACCACACUCAUCCCUCUCUCUCUGGCCUGUCUGGUACAGGUACCCCCACCACACUCCCCCCUCUCUCCCUGGUCUGUCUCUCCUCCUGCACCCAGGCACUGUUGGGGCGAGUGACUCUGACCUUAAAAUGGCUAGGCCCAAGUACUUAUAUAUUAGAUUUUUUUCUUGUGCAUUUUGCCUCAUGACUCCUGCAUACUUUGUUGACUACAAACUUUCUAUCCCAACCAUGGG